rnacentral:lncRNA from 1 species
ACCAGUGUUAUUGUUCAGAAAAAGUUCUCUUAUUUGUUUAACUACUUUGUUUGUUUGUUUGUUCAACAGAUUGGGUGGCCAGCUUCUGUGCAGAAAAAGGGAAAGCACUGACACACUCAACUGAAGAAGUUGUCUUGUGAUGAAACAGCACAUUUCAGUGACCGAUGACAGCAUGGAGAACUAUAAAUUCACUGAUUGAUCCUAAACUAUUGAGUGCUUAGCCCUGGCAGAAGAGCAGGACAAGGCCCAUGUGGCAUUCAGAUAACAUCUGCAGCUUAUCUGGAAGUCUUACAAGACAGAAAUUCCUCAGUAGCUGCAAAGCAAAUGUGUUACGAGUGUCAUUUGGAAGUCAGAGCUCAGGUAGUCCCAAGGAUUGGAAUCCACUGUUUCAUGAUCUGUGCUUUGCAACUGAAUUAAGAUUUGACAAGCCUAUAAACACAGCACGAUGCUUCACGCCGCUACAGGGAGGAUAUCUAAAAUGGCAGCAAUAUAAUCACAUCCCUACAAUCAGUGUGGGACUGAGAUAGCUAACAAAUUUUUUGUCGUCACUGUUUUGAAAUCAACGGUUGGUUUUCCUGUGACAUUACUGCAUAUCUAAAACUGUAAUAAAUUAAUAGUAAGAAUGAGAACA